GUCGUCUACAAACACAGAGUGACGUCCAGAGCUCUGCUGGAGCUGUGGGGAAGUUCAUGAAUGUUAUAGUUGAUGUUUCAGAAAAAAGGAAGAUGUUUGAGAACCAACAAAACACAGAGCACAGAUGAACAAAGUGAUGUGGCAUUAGGAGACUUUAUACCAGAUGCCCUCCCUGUUACUGUGUUUAGAGGAAGAAAAGCAGCACAUGGCAGAGACCAGAGCUUCUUCACUGGAAUAAAUCUUCACACUGUCCAGCUCCAAACUGUGUGUCUCUGUCCCUGUGCUCUCUUUGUGUUUGAUUCUGUUUAAGACAAUACAGAACUGUGGAAAACUAAAGACUGUUUUUGUAUUCUUUUACAGAAUUAGAUCAAUUAAAUUAAAUUAUACAUACUUAUACAUUUCAUGAUAAGGUACCAUAAGAUAAAUAUGCAUAUUCAGCAUGAUUUGUUCAAAUUUCAUCAACAUGAAAAAGUGAUGUUCAUGUUCCGAGAAAAAUAUGUGUAGAGGGGAUCGAAAAAAGUU